AUUGAACGCUGGCGGCAGGCCUAACACAUGCAAGUCGAACGCGUGGCGGACGGGUGAGUAAUGUCUGGGAAACUGCCUGAUGGAGGGGGAUAACUACUGGAAACGGUCGAUAAUAACACAUACCAUCAGGUGUGCCCAGAUGGGAUUCGCUUGUUGGUGGGGUAACGGCUCACCAAGGCGACGAUCCCUCGCUGGUCUGAGAGGAGGAACAGCCAGACUGGAACUGAGACACGGACCAGACUCCUACGGGAGGCAGCAGUGGGGAAUAUGGCACAAUGGGCGCAAGCCUGAUGCAGCCAUGCCGCGUGUAUGAAGAAGGCCUUCGGGUUGUAAAGUACUUUCAGCGGGGAGGCGUUACCCGCAGAAGAAGCACCGGCUAACUCCGUGCCAGCCGCCGCGGUAAUAC
rnacentral:rRNA from 1 species